CUUCUAGAUCUAAAAGGAGCUUGGAUUGUCUCCUCCAGUUGGUUAAAGGAAAGCUACCGGGAAGGCAGAUUUGUUGACGAGUUGCCUUACAUACUAAAUGAUGAUGACUACAUAUCGAAGUAUCGAGCCAGCCUAAAAGCUGCAGUUCUCAGGGCAAAAGCAUGUUCUUGAGCUUUAUUUGAAGGGUAUGAUGUUUGCAUAUCAGCUCACGCUCAACCACCACCUAAAACUCUAUCCCUGAUAGUCAAGUCAGCCGGUGGAAAUGUAAUUUCUCUGUUAUUGUACAAAUCUCGAGUACUAGGUUUGGUUCUCUAUAUUACAUAUACAACCACUAUAAUAUGGCUAUCCUCCCAUCUAAUGAAGACGUGAAGUUCUCAACAAACAAGCACGUAUACGAAUUCUAGACAUGGGUCAAUAAAUCAUAGACAUGGUGACGUGUCAUUUUUUUCU